CUUCUUCAUAUACCACUUCCUUAGUACUGAUGCAGUAGGCCCAACAGACUCCUGCAUUAACCCUUUACAACUAACAAAGAUUGUAGCUCUUGAGCAUUGUAAACAGAACGUGAGGAAAUAGCAGGCAGAGGGAGAUUUUCAGGUGUCCAACAAGCCCUCAGCAGAUCUUUCACCACUGAAAAGUUUACAUCUUGAUUUCUUAAUAAUUCUUUCCUUUAAAAAUAUUUUUGACUUUAUUCAGAAUAGUUCCCCAGCAGGGACCUGGACUAUAAUACACACUAUAGAACAUCUCAUCGACCAAUUCCAAUUUACUCCCCAGAAGAAAAGUUUUCUCAUAAAUGAAAAAUCAAAGCUUGCCCUAAUUUCUACCUAGCCGCUCCAUUUAAUUUAGCGAGGUGUGCAGACAGGUCAAAGGCUACGCGAGGAACUGCAAGGAUCAAGAUUUUUGAGGGUUGCUAGAAUCUACUCAUUUCAUAGCAGAGCAGAACGAGGGACUAGCGUGGCCUGCAGAAAACCCCUCCCUCAAACUGAAGAACGCACACUAUGGGGGCUAGCUCCCACCGUCUAAAGACUAGUGCUUUUGACAUAUUACGGUAGUUCUCAUUGACCGAAACUGUAGACAGACAUCCUUACCCUACUACAGCCACCAAACAGCUAUGAGGAAAGUACACAUUAACUCUACUGUAAAUGAUUUGUAGACACUUUCGCUAAAUAGAAAAAUCCUUCUAGUAAACCACUGGUAUGCAGAGCAGCGCUCAAUUUAGCAGGCUCGAGAGGGAAAACGGAACCUAAGACUGGGCCGCAAGAACGCCUGGCAUGCAAACACUGAGUAGAAGAGUGACCAGCAAAAAAGAACGAGGAAAAUACCAGAGCGGUAAGAGGGAAGUGCGGAAAGAAGGAUGUCAUGGAAACCAAGGGACGGUGUUUCAAAAUGGAGGGAGUGCCCAAUGGUACGAAAUGCUGCUGAAAGAUCAAAUAAGCUUUUGGUGUCAUAUCCAAGAAACCAUUGUCUAAUCCAAAGAUCAUCAGGAUUUACACCUACAAUUUCCUGAGAGUUUUAUACUUUCAGAUCUUACAUUUAGGUCUAUGAUCCAUUUGAGUUAAUUUUUGUAUAUGGUAUGAAGUAAGGGCAAAAUUCAUUCUUUUGCACGUGGAUAUCUAGUUGUUCCAGCACCAUCUGAUGAAAAGACUAUUCUUUCCCCAUCAAAUGUUUUGGCACCCUUAUCAAAAAUCAAUUUACGGUCAAUAAGUGUAAGAUUUUAUUUUGGGACUCUUUUAAUUCUAUUCCAUUAAUCUAUAUGUCCAGACUUACGCCAGUAAGUCUACUGCCUUGAUUACUGUAGCUUUGUAGUAAACAUUCAAAUCAGGAAGUACAAGUCCUCCAAUGUUAUGGACUGAACUGUAUCCCCUCAAAAUUCGUAUGUUGAAGCCCUAACUCCCAAUGUGAUGGUAUCUGGAGAUGGGGUCUUUGCAAGAUAAUUAGGUUUAGAUGAGGUGAUGAGGGUGGGGCCCUCAUGAUGAGAGUUUGCUCUCUCGCUCUCCACCACGUCAGGACACAGCAAGAAAGCAGCUAUAUGCAAGCUAGGAAGCGUUCUCAACAAAACCCAACCAUGUUGGCUUCUGAUCUGAGACUGCCAGCCUCCAGAGCUAUGAGAAAACAAACUUCUGUCGUUUAAGCCACCCACUCUAUGGCAUUUUGUUAUGGCAGCCUGAGCUGACUAAGACAGAGGUCAUAAGGGUGGCGCAUUAAUCCAGUAAGACUGGUGUUCAUAUAAGAAGAUGAAGAGAUACCAGGAGUGUGCACAAAGGAAAAGCCACGUGAGGACACAGAGAAGGCUGCAAGCCAACAAGAGGGGGGUCUCACCAGAAACUCACCCAGCCAGCAUCAUGAUCUCAGACUUCAGCCUCCAGAACUGUGAGAAAAUAAACUUCCGCUGUUUCAAGCCA